rnacentral:rRNA from 1 species
AUUGAACGCUGGCGGCGUGCUUAACACAUGCAAGUCGAUCGGUAACAGGUGUAGCAAUACAUGCUGACGAGAGGCGGACGGGUGAGUAAUGCUUGGGAAUCUGCCUAUUAGUGGGGGACAACCCGGGGAAACUCGGGCUAAUACCGCAUACGCUCUACGGAGGAAAGCCGGGGACCGCAAGGCCUGGCGCUAAUAGAUGAGCCCAAGUCGGAUUAGCUAGUUGGUAGGGUAACGGCCUACCAAGGCGACAAUCCGUAGCUGGUCUGAGAGGACGACCAGCCACACCGGAACUGAGACACGGUCCGGACUCCUACGGGAGGCAGCAGUGGGGAAUAUUGGACAAGUGGGGCAACCCUGAUCCAGCGACGCCGCGU